AACUGAUGUAUAUGGUAAUGGGCUGAAAUCAGAGAUAUACUAACCUAUAGGAAAAGGACACCCUGGCAUUGCUAAGGAGAGGAAAUAUAAAUAAGUUUAAGGGUAACCCCUCUUCAUAUGCAUUAGACCUGGUAAUGUCAGUGUAACAGCCUGUACUUAUAAAAUUAGCAACCCAGGGCAGCAAAGGUAGAGACCUAGAUCUUGGGAGAGGCUAGAACGGUGGCCACUGGUAAAGACAAGGAAGGUAACAAUAAUAAGGAAAAUAAGGGCUAGCAACCAGGUUCUGAAAAGCAUAGCGUGGAGAAUAUACUCUAGCAUGUCAGAUAUCCCCGCCAUGUGUAUCUAGCACUUGAGCUGAAUUCCAGGCUUCAAAUCAGGCCUACUUCUGCAGGUGUGUGGCUAUCCCAACAAGGAACUUGGAGCGUACUCUGCAUGCUGUCGACAGGCCGAAGGGGAGCACCACUGCAUUUGACAUGGACCUGGCUGCUGUAUCCACAGCAUCCAGCACUGCUUGUAAUGCUGUGCAAGAGAUCCGAAACCUUCCGUCAUAUUUGAUUCAAAUUGUUCCUUUAUAUCUUCUUGUCGAUACUGAAUAAAGGAAUUGAAAGAU